UUCACUUCUCAGCCUUACAGUUCCGAUCCGAUGUAGUAUCUUUUCUUAUCAGUUUACUAUCUGAUACAUUCUUCUAUCUGAGGGCAAUUUGUUAAAAGGGGUUUUGGAGCAGGGAGGUGGGAUACCCAUUCCACACAUCAGCCUGGUGCUGUGGUACCUCCAGGCAUGGUGCAGCUCCU
rnacentral:snRNA from 1 species